GUCCCUACUGUUCACCCUUGCAGUUUUUAUGCUCCUGGCCCAAUUGGUCUCAGGUAAUUGGUAUGUGAAAAAGUGUCUAAACGACGUUGGAAUUUGCAAGAAGAAGUGCAAACCUGAAGAGAUGCAUACAAAGACUACAAGAAUUUCAACAGUAACAGCAACAACAGCAACAACAACUUUGAUGAUGACUACUGCUUCGAUGUCUUCGAUGGCUCCUACCCCCGUUUCUCCCACUGGUUGAACAUUCCAGCCUCUGUCUCCUGCUCUAGGAUCCCCGACUCAUUAAAGCAAAGAGGCU
rnacentral:lncRNA from 10 species